UCCCCAGGUACUCGUGAGUCCUUCCCUCCCAGACCCAGGGCACUUGGAAACCCAACCACUGUGAGCUGUGCCCUAUGGCAGCCCUUCACUGCUGUGUCUCCUGCAGGGGAUCUCCUGGCUCCUGCUCUCCAAAUCAACUCAACUUCUGCUCAUCCGGGUACCAGAGUUGUGCUCCAGUGUAUUCUCCCUAUGGUGUCACCUGUAAUACGAUUCAUCUUCUGCAAGGAUGGGAAGGAGCUGUACAGCCAGAAAGCCCAUCAAAGGCAGCUGAGCUACUCCGUGGUCCUGAACAUCCCAUCAAAAAUCACAGGAAUACAUGUAUUUACAUGUGGAUACCAGGCGUUAAAUGAGAAGAAACAUAUGAGGAGCUCUGCCCUCAGUGCUGGCCAAAUCCUGGAUGUCCCUGGCAAUGUGGUGAGUUCCCCAGCAAAUCCAUCAUCCCCAGCCCCAUAUGCCUUGAUCCCGCACGCCCUCCCCAAAACCAUGGCGCUGGCAGUGGCGGCCGUCAGCCUCGUCCUCCUGGCUGCAGGCAGCUGGUUUGCCAUCAGGAAAGGUGCGUGCAGAGGGAGAUGCCCAAGGCAGCAGCACGUUGACAGCCCACAGAUUGAAACCACAGACCAUGAUGAAGUCACAUACUCCACCAUCGCCCAUGUUCGACGAGACAGGGUGAGUCGUGGCACAGCUGUGCACAGCUCCUUUCUGCACUCCUGCAGCCUGGUGCACGCACAUUGUGCAGGGCUCACAGUCACACCUGAAGUAACAGGGUUUCUUUUCUCCCUAAAGCCUCGUCCUGUGCAGCACAUGAGCGACACCACGACGUAUGCCACGGUGAUCUGCACCCAGACCUGAUAGAGCUGCCACAGGGCAAGGGCACAGGAGCCUUGUCCACAGCUGCCUUUGCUCUCCUGUAGAGUUCUUGUGCAGUCAUAUCAUGGGGCUGAGGGUUCCACUUUGGGCUUCUCUGGGGUUUUCUGUCACAGGGAAGGGCUGUGUGUGUCUAGCCAAGAGGAUGAAGGACUCAUAUGUCUUUUAUUAAUAAAUUAAUACCUCUAAAAUAUAUCA
rnacentral:lncRNA from 1 species